rnacentral:rRNA from 1 species
GACGAACGCUGGCGGCGUGCCUAACACAUGCAAGUCGAACGGAGAUAUGAUUUCGGUUAUAUCUUAGUGGCGAACGGGUGAGUAACGCGUGAGCAACCUGACCUUCAGAGGGGGAUAACACUUGGAAACAGGUGCUAAUACCGCAUAAGACCACGACCCGACAUCGGGAUGCGGUCAAAGGAGCAAUCCGCUGAGGGAGGGGCUCGCGUCCAUUAGAUAGAUGGCGGGGUAACGGCCCACCAUGUCGACGAUGGGUAGCCGGGCUGAGAGGCUGAUCGGCCACACUGGAACUGAGACACGGUCCAGACUCCUACGGGAGGCAGCAGUGGGGAAUAUUGGGCAAUGGGCGCAAGCCUGACCCAGCAACGCCGCGUGAGGG